GUCAUCCUCCUUAUAUUCAUCUAAACGGGAAGAAAUAAACAGCCCAUCAUUCGCAUUCCAGUGAGAGGAGAGCAGACAUUGUACAGGCAUUCUCCUUAUAUUCAUUUAAACGGGAAGAAAUAAACAUCCCAUCAUUCACAUUCCAGUGAGAGGAGAGCAGACAUUGUACAGGCAUUCUCCUUAUAUUCAUUUGAACGGGAAGAAAUAAACAUCCCAUCAUCCACAUUCCAGUGAGAGGAGAGCAGACAUUGUACAGUCAUUCAUCCUCCUUAAAUUCAUCUAAACGGGAAGAAAUAAACCGCCCAUCAUUCGCAUUCCAGUGAGAGGAGAGCAGAAAUUGUACAGGCAUCCUCCUUAUAUUCAUUUAAACGGGAAGAAAUAAACAUCCCAUCAUUCACAUUCAGUGAGAGGAGAGCAGACAUUGUACAGUCAUCCUCCUUAUAUUCAUCCAAACGGGAAGAAAUAAACCGCCCAUCAUUUGCAUUCCAGUGAGAGGAGAGCAGACAUUGUACAGUCAUCCUCCUUAUAUUCAUCUAAACGGGAAGAAAUAAACAGCCCAUCAUUCGCAUUCCAGUGAGAGGAGAGCAGACAUUGUACAUCGGAGAAUGGACACAGCGUGAAGGUCCAUUUACACAGUGUGGUCGUCAUGGCAACCACUCUGCCCUCCUCGUCACCACCCCGAGCACACGGGUGACCUCCACCAAGCUCAAGCAGCAAAUGAAUCACAUUGAAGAAAAAUGGCUGACUGGUGCAUUAAGUUGACGGCACACUGCGCUUGAAGGCCAUGUUUGGACAGCAUGUUCUGGACGUGUUUGUGGACAGGCUUUCACUUGGCCGCCAAGGAAACCUCAGCAGGCCAAAACAUUAGGUACGCCCCCACAGUGUUGCAAAGAUGCUGCUCUUUAUACUACUACUAAUAAUACUAAUAAUGAGAUGUGCAUAAAAUGUGUUUGUUGUUGAUGCUGCGAAUAACCUUUUCAUGAAAAUUUCAAUUUCAAAUAAACACUGACCGGACAUAUUAUUAGGUACACCAGUUUAACGUGGUGAAAUUCAAUAACUUUAUUAUAAAAAUAUUAUAAUUUUAAUAUUUAUAUUA